AAAAACUGAGGUGGUAUACGAUGGUUCCGCGUCUGAUUAGCUAGUUGGUGGGGUAAAAGCCUACCAAGGCAACGAUCAGUAGCCGGCCUGAGAGGGUGAACGGCCACAUUGGGACUGAGACACGGCCCAAACUCCUACGGGAGGCAGCAGUGGGGAAUAUUGCACAAUGGGGGAAACCCUGAUGCAGCGACGCCGCGUGAGUGAAGAAGUAUUUCGGUAUGUAAAGCUCUAUCAGCAGGGAAGAAAUACUGACCAUAGGGUCAGCAGACGGUACUUGACUAAGAAGCCCCGGCUAACUACGUGCCAGCAGCCGCGGUAAUACGUAGGGGGCAAGCGUUAUCCGGAUUUACUGGGUGUAAAGGGAGCGUAGACGGCAGCGCAAGUCUGAAGUGAAAUGCCAGGGCUUAACCCUGGAACUGCUUUGGAAACUGUGCAGCUAGAGUGCAGGAGAGGUAAGUGGAAUUUCUAGUGUAGCGGUGAAAUGCGUAGAUAUUAGGAGGAACACCAGUGGCGAAGGCGGCUUACUGGACUGUAACUGACGUUGAGGCUCGAAAGCGUGGGGAGCAAACAGGAUUAGAUACCCUGGUAGUCCACGCUAUAAACGAUGAUUACUAGGUGUUGGGGGACCAAGGUUCUUCG
rnacentral:rRNA from 1 species